UACGUAGGGUGCGAGCGUUAAUCGGAAUUACUGGCGUAAAGCGUGCGCAGGCGGUUUUGUAAGCCAGAUGUGAAAUCCCCGGGCUUAACCUGGGAAUGGCAUUUGGGACUGCAAGGCUCGAGUGCGGCAGAGGAGACUGGAAUUCCUGGUGUAGCAGUGAAAUGCGUAGAUAGUCAGGAGGAACACCGAGUGGCGAAGGCAGGUCUCUGGGCUGACACUGACGCUCAUGCACGAAAGCGUGGGGAGCAAACAGG
rnacentral:rRNA from 1 species